rnacentral:rRNA from 1 species
GAUGAGCGCUGGCGGCGUGCCUAAUACAUGCAAGUCGAGCGAACAGAUGAGGAGCUUGCUCCUCUGACGUUAGCGGCGGACGGGUGAGUAACACGUGGAUAACCUACCUAUAAGACUGGGAUAACUUCGGGAAACCGGAGCUAAUACCGGAUAAUAUAUUGAACCGCAUGGUUCAAUAGUGAAAGACGGUUUUGCUGUCACUUAUAGAUGGAUCCGCGCCGCAUUAGCUAGUUGGUAAGGUAACGGCCUACCAAGGCAACGAUGCGUAGCCGACCUGAGAGGGUGAUCGGCCACACUGGAACUGAGACACGGUCCAGACUCCUACGGGAGGCAGCAGUAGGGAAUCUUCCGCAAUGGGCGAAAGCCUGACGGAGCAACGCCGCGUGAGUGAUGAAGGUCUUCGGAUCGUAAAACUCUGUUAUUAGGGAAGAACAAAUGUGUAAGUAACUAUGCACGUCUUGACGGUACCUAAUCAGAAAGCCACGGCUAACUACGUG